GUACCUUGAAGUUUCAAUGAUGAGGCAUAUAUGUCAACUAUGGGUGUUGGCUCCAACAAUUCUCAUUGGUCUCAAACCAAUGACAUGAAUUUCGAUGAUCAUGAGUUUGAGGUGGACGAGUAUGGUGAGGGCAUUGUCGACGCACCCAAAGGAAGAGGAGGCAACUAAACCAAUGAUGAAGACAUCUUGCUAUGCAAUACUUGGUUGCAAGGGUCAAGGGAUCCCUCCGUUGGAGGUGAUCAAAGUAGAGAUGCAUAUUGGCUCCGGAUGAGGGAACACUUUGAUGUGCACAACAAAAGUGGAAUUGACCACUCGGGAAGAUCUCUUCGCUCCCAGUGGUCGACAAUCAACUGA
rnacentral:rRNA from 1 species